rfam:Brachypodium distachyon strain Bd21 chromosome 4, whole genome shotgun sequence.
AUACUACUUCCUCCGUCCAACAAAGGAUGUCUCAACUUUGACUAAAUUUGAAUGCAUCUAUACACUAAGUCAAUAGAUACAUUCAAAUUUUGACAAACUUGAGACAUCUUUUGUUGUCCGGAGGGAGUAGUAU